rnacentral:siRNA from 1 species
GGAUAAAGUGCGGUGCAGUUCA